rnacentral:rRNA from 1 species
UACAGAGGGUGCGAGCGUUAAUCGGAAUUACUGGGCGUAAAGGGCGCGUAGGCGGUCCUGAUCGUCGGAUGUGAAAGGCCUGGGCUCAACCUGGGAACUGCAUCCGAUACGGCGGGACUGGAGUGUGGGAGAGGUUGGUGGAAUUCCCAGUGUAGAGGUGAAAUUCGUAGAUAUUGGGAAGAACACCGGUGGCGAAGGCGGCCAACUGGACCACAACUGACGCUGAGGCGCGAAAGCGUGGGGAGCAAACAGG